UUGGGGAAUAUUCCGCAAUGGACGAAAGUCUGACGGAGCGACGCCGCGUGAGUGAUGAAGGCCCUUGGGUCGUAAAGCUCUGUCAUCAGGGACGAACGGUCACGUCAGGAAAUGGGCGUAAAUUGACGGUACCUGAGAAGGAAGCCACGGCUAACUACGUGCCAGCAGCCGCGGUAAUACGUAGGUGGCGAGCGUUGUCCGGAAUUAUUGGGCGUAAAGCGCGCGCAGGUGGGAUCUUAAGUCUGUUCUGAAAGUUCGGAGCUUAACUCCGUGAUGGGAUGGAAACUGGGAUUCUUGAGUAUCGGAGAGGAAAGCGGAAUUCCCCGUGUAGCGGUGAAAUGCGUAGAUAUGGGGAGGAACACCAGUGGCGAAGGCGGCUUUCUGGACGAUGUCUGACACUGAGGCGCGAAAGCCAGGGGAGCGAACGGGAUUAGAAACCCUUGUAGUCC
rnacentral:rRNA from 1 species